CCCUACCUUUACCAGAAACAACGAGAUUGAGCCCUUUUGUUUUUCAUAUACUACACUGGGUAGGAAGGCAUCAAGAUAGCGGGCCUGGUUGUUCUAUCAGCUGACCCUGUCUGCAGUUCCUGGAUGCUUCCACCCAGACCUCAGCCCCACUUCAGGUAUCUGGAGACAUUCCUGACCAGAAAUCCAAUUUCGAAAGAAAUAAUUAGGCCUUAAGAUGACUGCAUGAGCACAGAGGAGACAGAAACAAGAGGAGAUUCAGGGGAAAGAGCUGUACCCAUCACCGCUGUAGCCUGCC